rnacentral:rRNA from 1 species
AAAUUGAAGAGUUUGAUCAUGGCUCAGAUUGAACGCUGGCGGCAGGCCUAACACAUGCAAGUCGAACGGUAACAGGAAUCAGCUUGCUGAUUCGCUGACGAGUGGCGGACGGGUGAGUAAUGUCUGGGAAACUGCCUGAUGGAGGGGGAUAACUACUGGAAACGGUAGCUAAUACCGCAUAACGUCGCAAGACCAAAGAGGGGGACCUUCGGGCCUCUUGCCAUCGGAUGUGCCCAGAUGGGAUUAGCUAGUAGGUGGGGUAACGGCUCACCUAGGCGACGAUCCCUAGCUGGUCUGAGAGGAUGACCAGCCACACUGGAACUGAGACACGGUCCAGACUCCUACGGGAGGCAGCAGUGGGGAAUAUUGCACAAUGGGCGCAAGCCUGAUGCAGCCAUGCCGCGUGUAUGAAGAAGGCCUUCGGGUUGUAAAGUACUUUCAGCGGGG